GGAUAUUAUUUAUAUGAUCGCUUAGAACAGGCAAUUAAUUUUAAUUAAUUGCCUGUUAAAAUGUGAUUUCUCCUCUGUAACAGUUUGGGUCUUACAUUUGCUUUUGAAUUUUAACUCAAGCUAAACUCAGUUACUGCUUUCACUUUUCACCAUAUUUUUGAUAUUCCUAAUUAGAUGUAUUGCAACAUCCUUACUGAACUCUCUACAUUAUGUCUUUUCAAAUUAUCAUUCAGCGCUAACCCAGCAAACAUGCUUUCAGCGGACCGCGAUGCGCAAAGCCGCCGCCGGAAUGCCGGUGCUGGCCCUUUGUGAUUCCUAAUGCGGCUUACCGCUGCCGGGUAGCUGAUGUAGGACCGGCAUGCUAAUUUGUGUUGACUUUCCGCCAUCGGCCGAAGAGCGAUAAAACACCUCGUUGCCAAUGCGAUUUUAAAUAGGCAUGCCACCUUCGAUAAUAGCUGUGGCAAGUAAAAGAGGCCAGACUUUAAAGGAGGCUGUCCAGAGAAUGUCCUUUGCGUUAUUCACUAAUAACCUCUGCUGUAAACUUAACUGGUCUGGUAUUACCAUAAAUGACAAUAAAAGUAACUUUGUAAAACAAAGACUUACACUUGCUUAAAAGAGCUGUAAAAAGAAAUCCUGCAACAACUUCAGCAACUGAAUCAGAUUUUCAAUAUGAGGUUGUGCGUUUUUUGCGUAGUGCAUCAGACUGCAAUGGCAGAAAAAAAGUUAGACAAGACCAAAAAAACAAACAAGCCGAGAAAAUGAUGUCUACAUCAUGUUUUCCAAUGCCAUUAAAUAAUUUAGUUCAGAAGAUGAAUAACAUUGCUAAAUAAAAUAAGCAUCUUUAUUUACAUAUUUGUUAUCUUUAUUUUACAAUAUUUUAUAUAUUUUUAAACUCAAUGGAGUAAAGUUUUUGUGUAAUGAGUAUUAUUGAUCUGUGUUUUUCAUAUUCAUUCCCUUUUACAGUAACCUUUUGUAUAUGAGAUUGUAGAUGAGAAUUUAAAUCGUGAUAUUGAAUCUUACCAGAGAAUAAAGUAAAAUUAAUUUUAUUAUUUUGAUAUUUAUUUAAUUUUAUUAUUUUGAUAUUAUUUGAUUUAAUGUUAUUUUUGAAGAAAAUCCAAAAUAUAAGUUCUGGAGUCUGUCUACUGUUUGAUUUGUUUGAUUAUAUUAAAUUUAAAAAUAACUAUAAGCUUUAAAAUAUAAAGUUAUUGAUGGAAAGCUAAAUUAACUUGGUAUUUAACCAGUGAAGCAGAUAAAUAAAAAUCUAACAAAAUUUUUAUUUUACAAGCCAUUAUUUUAAACGAUUGCUUUAACAAUUCUGUUUAAACACGCUUGUAAUUUAAUGUUACAUUUAUGAUUUAAUAUUAUUUCUUUACAGGAAAUCGUUUAUCUCAACCAGAGUUAUAUUUCAUAGAAUUAUGUUGACCAUGAUCCAAAUAUUGCCAUGGGUAUAAGAUAGAUGUUUGAUUUGCAAACUGGAUUUAAAUCAUAUUUUCUUUAAACAUAUUUAUUAUUAAUAAAUAUGUUUAAAGGAAAUAAAUAAUUUAUUAGAAAAAAAUUAUAUACUUAUUUACUAAACCGUUUUAUUUCAAUCAAUUAUUUGAUUUUUUAUAUUUUUCAAGGAAUUUUUAUAGUAUAUUUUAUUGCACUGUUUUUUUUUUUUGUAUGGUGAAAACUAUGUUCAAUUUACAAACUAUAUUUUAGUUUAUCAAAAUAUAUUUUUAUUGAUGUGUUCUGUCUCUGAUUCUUUCUUUUUCAGAUGUGCACUUGUGUUUUAGGCUUAUGCUUUGCAAAAGGUUCACCAUCGCCCUUAAGUUGCUGUGGGUUUUACGGUUUUACUUUCAACCUGGCAUAUAAAUGCACUUAGUAUCUAAAGUUAUUUGUCAAUAACUGGUGAUCAGACUCUCAAACGAACACGUUUUUAAGGGCUGAGAAGGUGAAAGUUAGAAGUCUGCAGACUGCAACGUAAAUCAAUUUUCAACACAUGGUUUCCUGAAUAUAUUUAGUUUUCGAUUGAAAUG